GAUGAACGCUAGCGGCAGGCUUAAUACAUGCAAGUCGUGGGGCAGCAUGAGUAGCAAUACUUGAUGGCGACCGGCAAACGGGUGAGGAACACGUACGCAACCUUCCUUCAAGCGGGGAAUAGCCCAGAGAAAUUUGGAUUAAUACCCCAUAAUAUAUUUGAUAAGGCAUCUUAUUAAUAUUAAAGCUUCGGCACUUGAUGAUGGGUGUGCGGCUGAUUAGAUAGUUGGCGGGGUAACGGCCCACCAAGUCUACGAUCAGUAGCUGAUGUGAGAGCAUGAUCAGCCACACGGGCACUGAGACACGGGCCCGACUCCUACGGGAGGCAGCAGUAAGGAAUAUUGGACAAUGGACGAAAGUCUGAUCCAGCCAUGCCGCGUGAAGGAUUAAGGUCCUCUGGAUUGUAAACUUCUUUUAUAUGGGACGAAAAAGGGACAUUCUUGUUCACUUGACGGUACCAUAUGAAUAAGCACCGGCUAACUCCGUGCCAG
rnacentral:rRNA from 1 species